rnacentral:rRNA from 1 species
CCAAGCCGAUGAUCGGUACGGGUUGUGAGAGCAAGGGCCCGGAGAUGGAACCUGAGACAAGGUUCCAGACCCUACGGGGUGCAGCAGGCGCGAAACCUCCGCAAUGUACGAAAGUGCGACGGGGGGAUCCCAAGUGUUAUGCUUUUUUGUAUGACUUUUCAUUAGUGUAAAAAGCUUUUAGAAUAAGAGCUGGGCAAGACCGGUGCCAGCCGCCGCGGUAACACCGGCAGCUCGAGUGGUAGCUGUUUUUAUUGGGCCUAAAGCGUUCGUAGCCGGUUUGAUAAGUCUUUGGUGAAAGCUUGUAGCUUAACUAUAAGAAUUGCUGGAGAUACUAUUAGACUUGAAGUCGGGAGAGGUUAGAGGUACUACCGGGGUAGGGGUGAAAUCCUAUAAUCCUGGGAGGACCACCUGUGGCGAAGGCGUCUAACUGGAACGAUCUUGACGGUGAGUAACGAAAGCCAGGGGCGCGAACCGGAUUAGAUACCCGGGUAGUCCUGGCCGUAAACGAUGUGGACUUGGUGUUGGAAUGGCUUUGAGUUGUUCCGGUGCCGAAGGGAAGCUGUUAAGUCCACCGCCUGGGAAGUACGGUCGCAAGACUGAAACUUAA